rnacentral:rRNA from 1 species
AGAGUUUGAUCCUGGCUCAGGAUGAACGCUAGCGGGAGGCCUAACACAUGCAAGUCGAGGGGCAGUCCCGAUAGUAAUAUCGGGAGCGACCGGCGCACGGGUGAGUAACGCGUAUGCAACCUACCCUGUACUGGGGGAUAACCCGGAGAAAUUCGGACUAAUAUCCCAUAAAGAUAUUUAGAGGCAUCUUUAAAUAUUUAAAGCUCAGGUGGUACAGGUUGGGCAUGCGUAACAUUAGCUAGUUGGUAGGGUAACGGCCUACCAAGGCUACGAUGUUUAGGGGUCCUGAGAGGGUGAUCCCCCACACUGGUACUGAGACACGGACCAGACUCCUACGGGAGGCAGCAGUGAGGAAUAUUGGUCAAUGGGCGCAAGCUUGAACCAGCCAUCCCGCGUGAAGGAAGAAGGCGCUAUGCGUUGUAAACUUCUUUUCCAGGGGAAUAAAAUUUUGUACGUGUACGAAAUUGAAGGUACCCUAGGAAUAAGCAUCGGCUAACUCCGUGCCAGCAGCCGCGGUAAUACGGAGGAUGCGAGCGUUAUCCGGAUUUAUUGGGUUUAGAGGGUGCGUAGGCGGAAUAAUAAGUCAGUGGUGAAACCCUGCAGCUUAACUGUAGACUUGCCAUUGAUACUGUUAUUCUUGAGUGUGGUCAAGGUAGGCGGAAUGUGUAAUGUAGCGGUGAAAUGCUUAGAUAUUACACAGAACACCGAUUGCGAAAGGCAGCUUGCUGGGCCAUUACUGACGCUGAUGCACGAAAGCGUGGGGAUCGAACAGGAUUAGAUACCCUGGUAGUCCACGCCCG